CCACAUCACCUACCUCCUGAUAAAUCUGUAUGCAGGUCAAGAAGCAACAUUUAGAACCAGACAUAGAACAAUGGACUAGUUCCGAAUUGGUAAAGGAGUAGGUCAAGUGUUUGUAAUUGUCACCUUGCUUAUUUAACUUAGGUGCAGAGUACAUCAUGCAAAAUGCUUGACUGGAUAAGACGCAAGUUGGAUCAAGAUUUGAGGGAGAAAUAUCAGUAAUUUCAGAUAUACACAUA